UGUAUUCACUACUGUAAGUUGCUCUGGAUAAGAGCGUCUGCUAAAUAAAAUGUA
rfam:Salmo salar isolate Sally breed double haploid chromosome ssa13, whole genome shotgun sequence.